AAGAAUGUAGUUUUUUCUUUUUCCCCCUUAUUCAGCCUCCUGGACACAGACAUUACAAAAGAGGUGUUGACUAAAAUGAAAACGAUGAACGUGAACAGAAGAAAUCAAGUCCCAAUUGGUUUCACUUUAGGCAAUGAUCCUUACGAAAUCUUAGGUUUUGAAUUGAAAUCAGAAAAAGGGGGAAAAAGAAAAAACUACAUUCUUUUCCACCUCCCUCACCAAAAGUUGCUGCAAAGGAGACUGUCAUAAAGGCAUGGAGAUACCUUGAGGCACUAAAGUCCAGCUAUCAGACUCACUGGACAAGCUGGAUACUAAUCUUGCUGAAGCUAUCGCGCUGUGCAAUGGCAAUAUCGAUCCCACGCAACUCAAUUCCAUUGGUAAUCUGGAGAAGCAUGAGAGGCGUCUUGUAGAAAGAGAGAACUGAGACUGAGAAGGCGAGCAGAGCGACGUGAGUGGAGAAAGCGACUUCUUGUUGAAUUUGGAAGCGAAAGAGGGCUGUAACCGAGACGAUAACCUGGAGACAAACUUCGAACAUGAGAACGCCAUUGAAUUUUGUUGGAUUCUACUCUACGCAUGUCAGCAUGGGCGCUUCGCAG
rnacentral:misc_RNA from 1 species